UACGUAGGGUGCAAGCGUUUAAUCGGAAUUACUGGGCGUAAAGCGUGCGCAGGCGGUUAUGUAAGACAGGUGUGAAAUCCCCGGGCUUAACCUGGGAACUGCAUUUGUGACUGCAUAGCUAGAGUACGGCAGAGGGGGAUGGAAUUCCGCGUGUAGCAGUGAAAUGCGUAGAUAUGCGGAGGAACACCGAUGGCGAAGGCAAUCCCCUGGGCCUGUACUGACGCUCAUGCACGAAAGCGUGGGGAGCAAACAGG
rnacentral:rRNA from 1 species